rnacentral:rRNA from 1 species
UACGUAGGGUGCAAGCGUUGUCCGGAAUUACUGGGCGUAAAGGGCUCGUAGGCGGCCAACUAAGUCAGACGUGAAAUCCCUCGGCUUAACCGGGGAACUGCGUCUGAUACUGGAUGGCUUGAGUUUGGGAGAGGGAUGCGGAAUUCCAGGUGUAGCGGUGAAAUGCGUAGAUAUCAGGAGGAACACCGGUGGCGAAGGCGGUUCUCUGGGCAUGUCCUGACGCUGAGGAGCGAAAGUGUGGGGAGCGAACAGG